rnacentral:lncRNA from 1 species
AGAUUGUGCCUGCAGCCUGGCCUGUUGCCCACAGCGGUCUACCUGCCACACUGGGAAAGAUCGAGCAGAGACAGAGAAGAAAAGGAGGCUCCAUUUUUCAGGCUGCUCUCCCGCAGGCUCAUGUUUUGUGUUCAUGCCAGGCAGAGAACACAAAAUGUUCCAAUAAAUAAGUAUCAAAGGUUAGUGGUGAAAAUGAAGGAGGAGGAGGCAUUGCGUGAAAAACUAAACAUGCAAAAUAUUACACACAAAGAGAACCAAAAUGCAGGUUCACUGGAAAUGAUAGACAAUAUGUUAAAACAAGAGGAGAGAAGAGAGCUGAAAUAAUCAAAUGGAAACACACAAUUUAGGGCUAAGAUCUUGUUGUGUUCAGCCACAAAUGAUGGCCAGCAGUGAGGAAUCUGUGUGUUCUCCACACUCUUCGCUCCUGGGAAGUCAACUCACAUGGACCAUGAUAUCAAUAUCUGCUCCUUCCCCUAAUAUCUGUUUGACCUUGGGUCAGUUACUUAAACUUCCUAAGCCUUAGUUUCUUUGUCUGGAAAAUAGGGAUAGUUAUACCUACCACACAACCACUUUGUAAUGAAUAUGUUGGAAAUUAUAUGCAAAUUGGCUUCCGUUGGUGUUUGGAACAUAGUAGGUUUUUAACUGGAAUAUAAUAGCUACCAUUAUCAGUAUCAUCAUAUUAAUUUAUAUUUCCAUCUUCAGCCCUUAACCCAGGAUCUUCAGUAAAUGUUGAAUUCUCAAAUUUGUUAAAUUCACUUGUCUAUACUAAUAUUUUACUCUAGGUUUCUUAGAAUAUUCUAGAUAAUAUUAUUAUGUAGAAUAUGUUAUGUAAGCUUCAUCUUAUCUGUAAAUAUAGUUUUACUUUUUCCUUUCUAAUUUUUAUGUCGAUUACUUCUUUUUCUUGGCUUAUUGAAUUGGCUAGGAUUCCCGUACAGUGUUGAAUACGUGCAGCAAGACUGCACAUCUUGCCUUGUUCCUGGUCCCACAGAGAGAAUAUCCAGUACUUCACAAUAAGUAUGUGUUAAUUGUAGAUUUUAUUAGAUUGAGGAAGUUCCCUUUCCUUUCAAGUCAGUCUUUUUAUUUUAAACAUGUAUUGAAGUUUUGUCAAAUGUCUUCAUCUAUUGGAAUAAUUAUACAUAUCUCUUUUUUAUUCUGUUAAUAUUACAUUUCAAUCUUCUGUCUACCUAAAAUCCCUAGAAUAAUCUCCAUUUGGCUAUGAUGUGUUGUGCUUUUAUAUAUUACUGAAUUCUAUAUGCCAAUAUUAUUAAAAUUUUCUGUCUUUAUGAGAA